ACACGACUACAUUAGAUACCCCCGUAGUCCUAGCCGUAAACGAUACUCGCUAGGUGUCGGCCACGGUGCGACCGUUGUCGGUGCCGUAGGGAAGCCGUGAAGCGAGCCACCUGGGAAGUACGGCCGCAAGGCUGAAACUUAAAGGAAUUGGCGGGGGAGCACAACAACGGGUGGAGCUUGCGGUUUAAUUGGAUUCAACGCCGGAAAUCUUACCGGGACCGACAGCAACAUGAAGGCCAGGCUGAAGACUUUGCCGGAUUAGCUG
rnacentral:rRNA from 1 species